UACGGGGGGGUGCGAGCGUUGUCCGGAAUCACUGGGCGUAAAGGGCGCGUAGGUGGUUUGAUAAGGGUGUGGUGAAAGUCCGGAGCUCAACUCCGGAUCUGCCGUGCCGACUGUCAAACUCGAGGGCUGUAGAGGCAGACGGAAUUCCGGGUGUAGCGGUGGAAUGCGUAGAGAUCCGGAGGAAGACCGGUGGCGAAGGCGGUCUGCUGGGCAGUUUCUGACACUGGAGGCGCGACGAGCGUGGGGAGCAAACAGG
rnacentral:rRNA from 1 species